rnacentral:rRNA from 1 species
GGGCGUUAAGUUGCAGGGUAUAGACCCGAAACCCGGUGAUCUAGCCAUGGGCAGGUUGAAGGUUGGGUAACACUAACUGGAGGACCGAACCGACUAAUGUUGAAAAAUUAGCGGAUGACCUGUGGCUGGGGGUGAAAGGCCAAUCAAACCGGGAGAUAGCUGGUUCUCCCCGAAAGCUAUUUAGGUAGCGCCUCGUGAAUUCAUCUCCGGGGGUAGAGCACUGUUUCGGCUAGGGGGCCAUCCCGGCUUACCAACCCGAUGCAAACUGCGAAUACCGGAGAAUGUUAUCACGGGAGACACACGGCGGGUGCUAACGUCCGUCGUGAAGAGGGAAACAACCCAGACCGCCAGCUAAGGUCCCAAAGUCAUGGUUAAGUGGGAAACGAUGUGGGAAGGCCCAGACAGCCAGGAUGUUGGCUUAGAAGCAGCCAUCAUUUAAAGAAAGCGUAAUAGCUCACUGGUCGAGUCGGCCUGCGCGGAAGAUGUAACGGGGCUAAACCAUGCACCGAAGCUGCGGCAGCGACGCUGAUGCGUUGUUGGGUAGGGGAGCGUUCUGUA